rnacentral:rRNA from 1 species
GACGAACGCUGGCGGCGUGCUUAACACAUGCAAGUCGAACGGUAAGGCCCUUCGGGGUACGACGAGUGGCGAACGGGUGAGUAACACGUGGGUGAUCUGCCCUGCACUUCGGGAUAAGCUUGGGAAACUGGGUCUAAUACCGGAUAGGACCACGGUCUGCAUGGAUUGUGGUGGAAAGCUUUUGCGGUGUGGGAUGGGCCCGCGGCCUAUCAGCUUGUUGGUGGGGUGAUGGCCUACCAAGGCGACGACGGGUAGCCGGCCUGAGAGGGUGUCCGGCCACACUGGGACUGAGAUACGGCCCAGACUCCUACGGGAGGCAGCAGUGGGGAAUAUUGCACAAUGGGCGCAAGCCUGAUGCAGCGACGCCGCGUGGGGGAUGACGGCCUUCGGGUU